rnacentral:rRNA from 1 species
UACGUAGGGUGCAAGCGUUUGUCCGGAAUUAUUGGGCGUAAAGAGCUCGUAGGCGGUUUGGUAAGUUGGAUGUGAAAUCCCUGGGCUUAACCUGGGAACUGCAGUCGAUACUGGCGGACUAGAGUACGGUAGAGGGUGGCGGAACUCCGGGUGUAGCGGUGAAAUGCGUAGAUAUCCGGAAGAACACCGAUGGCGAAGGCAACCACCUGGGCCUGUACUGACGCUGAGGUACGAAAGCGUGGGGAGCAAACAGG